rnacentral:tRNA from 2 species
GCGGGAAUAGCUCAAUCGGUAGAGCGUCAGCUUCCCAAGCUGAAGGUCGCGGGUUCGAUUCCCGUUUCCCGCU